rnacentral:rRNA from 1 species
GACGAACGCUGGCGGCGUGCCUAAUACAUGCAAGUUGAGCGCUGAAGGUUGGUACUUGUACCAACUGGAUGAGCAGCGAACGGGUGAGUAACGCGUGGGGAAUCUGCCUUUGAGCGGGGGACAACAUUUGGAAACGAAUGCUAAUACCGCAUAAAAACUUUAAACACAAGUUUUAAGUUUGAAAGAUGCAGUUGCAUCACUCAAAGAUGAUCCCGCGUUGUAUUAGCUAGUUGGUGAGGUAAAGGCUCACCAAGGCGAUGAUACAUAGCCGACCUGAGAGGGUGAUCGGCCACAUUGGGACUGAGACACGGCCCAAACUCCUACGGGAGGCAGCAGUAGGGAAUCUUCGGCAAUGGACGAAAGGCUGACCGAGCAACGCCGCGUGAGUGAAGAAGGUUUUCGGAUCGUAAAACUCUGUUGGUAGAGAAGAACGUUGGUGAGAGUGGAAAGCUCAUCAAGUGACGGUAACUACCCAGAAAGGGACGGCUAACUACGUG